AUAUUUGCCCCCCAGAAAAGAAGAAAAAAAGCAGGUGGUUCUCUCAGGGUGAGGCUGGUCCCUAGCACUCCCGGCCCGCUGCCCCCUGUGAUUUCCCAACAUGCGGGAACCUCAGUUGUGGAAUUUGUGGCAGUGGGGGACUGCAUGCGCGCUCUUCCAUG
rnacentral:snRNA from 14 species